CACGUAGGGGCCAAGCGUUGUCCGGAUUUAUUGGGCGUAAAGAGCGUGUAGGCGGCCAUACAGGUCCGUUGUGAAAACUGGAGGCUUAACCUCCAGACGUCGAUGGAAACCGUAUGGCUAGAGUCCGGAAGAGGAGAGUGGAAUUCCCGGUGUAGCGGUGAAAUGCGCAGAUAUCGGGAGGAACACCAAUUGCGAAGGCAGCUCGCUGGGACGUUACUGACGCUGAGACGCGAAAGCGUGGGGAGCAAACAGGG
rnacentral:rRNA from 1 species